rnacentral:rRNA from 1 species
AUUGAACGCUGGCGGCAUGCCUUACACAUGCAAGUCGAACGGCAGCGCGGACUUCGGUCUGGCGGCGAGUGGCGAACGGGUGAGUAAUACAUCGGAACGUACCCUGUUGUGGGGGAUAACUAGUCGAAAGAUUAGCUAAUACCGCAUACGACCUGAGGGUGAAAGUGGGGGACCGGAAACGGCCUCAUGCAGCAGGAGCGGCCGAUGUCUGAUUAGCUAGUUGGUGGGGUAAAGGCCCACCAAGGCGACGAUCAGUAGCUGGUCUGAGAGGACGAUCAGCCACACUGGGACUGAGACACGGCCCAGACUCCUACGGGAGGCAGCAGUGGGGAAUUUUGGGCAAUGGGGGCAACCCUGAUCCAGCAAUGCCGCGUGUGUGAAGAAGGCCUUCGGGCUGUAAAGCACUUUUGUCCGGAAAGAAAUCGCGCUGGUUAAUACCUGGCGUGGAUGACGGUACCGGAAGAAUAAGCACCGGCUAACUACGUG